ensembl:lncRNA
GGAAAAGGUACUGGAUGACGGGCAGGCUCAGGGUCAGGGCAGGCAGGGGUCAGUAACCAGAGGUGGGGAAAAGGUACCGGAUGACGGGCAGGCUCAGGGUCAGGGCAGGCAGGGGUCAGUAACCAGAGGUGGGGAAAAGGUACUGGAUGACGGGCAGGCUCAGGGUCAGGGCAGGCAGCGGUCAAUAAUCCAGAGGUGGGGUAAUGGUAGAGGACGGCAGGCAUGCUCAAGGUCAGGGACAGGCAGAGCGGUCAGGCAGGCGGGCUCAGGGUCAGGACAUGCAAGGGUCAAAACCAGGAGAGCGAGAAAAGAGAGACUGGGAAAGCAGGAGGCGAC